GUGGAUGUUGGAGCAGCUGGGGCAGCUGUACGGCUGCGAGGAAGAAGAGAUGCCAGAUGUAGAAAUUGACAUAGAUGACCUUCUUGAUGCAGCUAAUGAAGAGGAGAGAGCUAUCAAAUUACAGGAAGCUCUUGUAGAUUGCUACAAACCAACAGAGGAGUUUAUCAGAGAACUGCUAACUCGGAUAAGAGGGAUGAGGAAGCUAAGCCCCCCUCAAAAGAAGAGUAUAUAGUAGCACUCUCCAUGACACCUUGCAAGGGAAAUGGGAUUUUGACAAGACCUUUUAUUAAAAUAGUUGUCUUUCCGAGCAACUUUUUUUUUUUUUUUUUUUUGGUUUGAUUCAGUUUUGACAUUUACUCAAGGGAGUCCUAUGUCAUGUGAUUUUAAGGGGUUUUUUAAGUGUCAAUUUUUUUAUCAAAGAUAUCAGCAUUUUUGGAUGCUGCUCAACUACCCUGCUCGAGGAUCAUUGACCCGGAUGAAGAAUCCAAGCAUUAGUGACCAUGCCAUAGCAGUGAAGGGCAGCAGUCCCACAUGGUGAAUCAGAAGACUAUGUAAAGUUGCAAAGCUAGAAGAGAUGCCUUUUAAUUUUCCCCUAGCAAUUAGUAGGAUGACAUUUUAAGUUGGUUGUACAUUUAACUCAUGGGUGUCAAGAUUCUUGUGCUUGUAUGUAUAUAAGUUGUAAAGUGGGGGUGUGAAUGCUGUUCAUGUGGCCGGAAGGGAACUUGUUACAGUAAACUACUUAAAUGGUGACUGCUGCAAACAUGUUACCAGAGGGCAACAAUUUAGGUUACCAAAAUGAGUGUUGCCAUUUUCUAAAUCCAUCUUAAAGCACUGAGGUGAAAGAUGUCAGCAUACUUCAUUGAAAAAGCAACAUAUGAAAACUGGGGAUUUUCUUAAGGGCUUAAUUUGUAGACUUCUAAUUGUUUUAUUGACUUUGAUGCUUUGCCAGAUCAUUUCCUCUUCACCUCAUGGUGUGUUAGGGUAUGUCUACACUACCACCCUAGUUCGAACUAGGGUGGUUAAAGU